rnacentral:tRNA from 1 species
GGAGGGGUGGCAGAGCGGUUGAAUGCACUGGUCUUGAAAACCAGCGAGGGUUAACGUCCUCCGAGAGUUCGAAUCUCUCCCCCUCCGCCA